rnacentral:rRNA from 1 species
AUACGGAGGGUGCAAGCGUUAUUCGGAAUCACUGGGCGUAAAGGACGCGUAGGCGGUUUGGCAAGUCAGAUGUGAAAUCCUACAGCUUAACUGUAGAACUGCAUUUGAAACUGCUAACCUAGAGUAUGGGAGGGGGAGAUGGAAUUAGUGGUGUAGGGGUAAAAUCCGUAGAUAUCACUAGGAAUACCGAAAGCGAAGGCGAUCUCCUGGAACAUAACUGACGCUAAGGCGUGAAAGCGUGGGGAGCAAACAGGAUUAGAAACCCUAGUAGUCC